rnacentral:rRNA from 1 species
GAGUUUGAUCGUGGCUCAGAUUGAACGCUGGCGGCAUGCCUUACACAUGCAAGUCGAACGGCAGCAUGAUCUAGCUUGCUAGAUUGAUGGCGAGUGGCGAACGGGUGAGUAAUACAUCGGAACGUGCCCUGUAGUGGGGAUAACUAGUCGAAAGAUUAGCUAAUACCGCAUACGACCUGAGGGUGAAAGUGGGGGACCGCAAGGCCUCAUGCUAUAGGAGCGGCCGAUGUCUGAUUAGCUAGUUGGUGGGGUAAAGGCCCACCUAGGCGACGAUCAGUAGCUGGUCUGAGAGGACGAUCAGCCACACUGGGACUGAGACACGGCCCAGACUCCUACGGGAGGCAGCAGUGGGGAUUUUGGACAAUGGGCGAAAGCCUGAUCCAGCAAUGCCGCCGUGUGUGAAGAAGGCC